UAAUAAUAAUAUCGCUUGUAAUAAAAUAAAAAAAUUUAAACCUUUUCAAAGCAAAUCAAGGGACAUAAAAAACUGAAGUGAAUAGUGCCGGGGCCAAGGGGACAAAAGCAAAGUAUGAAGCCCGACCGACCCGACUAACAACAAGCUCUUCCUUUUGCCUCUCGCUUCUGUAAUCACUGUUUCAGUCGCAAACCGAUCUCCAGUAGGUUCCAUGUUCUUAGUUCUUAAUAUGGAUGCGGAUGCUGCAAAACCGCACGGGAAUCUCUUGACCUAGCAUUUCAGAUGUCCAACAUUCUAGACACAGGGCUGGACCGUCACACCCUUUCCAUCCUCAUUGCAUUAUGUGAUUUGGGUCUCAACCCUGAGGCAUUGGCUGCCGUUGUUAAGGAACUUCGAAGAGAACCCGUUCCACUUCCGCCAUCAGAUGCUGCCGGUACUGUACUAUGAACUGGUUUUUGUAUUCUUGAUUUCUCUGGAACAUAAACAAUUGCGUACUUGUAGUAUAUAUUCAAAGUGAAUCCCAUUUUCUAAGUUCGGGGGUUGUGAUUACCUCCCUUUAGUUGC
rnacentral:sRNA from 1 species